ACGGGAAAGUAGCUUGCUACUUUUGCCGGCGAGCGGCGGACGGGUGAGUAAUGCCUGGGAAAUUGCCCAGUCGAGGGGGAUAACAGUUGGAAACGACUGCUAAUACCGCAUACGCCCUACGGGGGAAAGCAGGGGACCUUCGGGCCUUGCGCGAUUGGAUAUGCCCAGGUGGGAUUAGCUAGUUGGUGAGGUAAUGGCUCACCAAGGCGACGAUCCCUAGCUGGUCUGAGAGGAUGAUCAGCCACACUGGAACUGAGACACGGUCCAGACUCCUACGGGAGGCAGCAGUGGGGAAUAUUGCACAAUGGGGGAAACCCUGAUGCAGCCAUGCCGCGUGUGUGAAGAAGGCCUUCGGGUUGUAAAGCACUUUCAGCGAGGAGGAAAGGUCAGUACCUAAUAUCUGCUGGCUGUGACGUUACUCGCAGAAGAAGCACCGGCUAACUCCGUGCCAGCAGCCGCGGUAAUACGGAGGGUGCUAGCGUUAAUCGGAAUUACUGGGCGUAAAGCGCACGCAGGCGG
rnacentral:rRNA from 1 species